CACCAAUUAUGAUUCCCGAAUUGAAACCCGAUUAAAAUGUGUGGAAGAUAGCAAUUCGUGUCGUCGAUGUAUGGGACGUCAAGGAACAUAAUGGUCAGCAACACGUUGAAGUCAUCCUUCAAGAUGCAAAGUUUUAAUCAAGACCAUAAAGUUCUCACAAUUGAUUCUUUGAUCUCUAACUUCAUCCUUCCCUUGUAAGGAGAUGAUAUAUCUGGAAAGGAUCAACGAGUUCAUUGUUCCAUAAAUAUCAACAGAGAAUGGACGUUUGUUAGCAAGAAGACCAAGUCUGCAUGUUUUUUAUACUUUCUCAUCAGAUGUAUAUUUGGACCAAUUAAUCAUCAGAUUUCCAAAAGACAAAGUUUUAAUCUAACUUGUAUAAUUUACAUUAGAAUCAACCAGCUUUAGAAAAGGACUGAUAUAAAAUUCGUCAAGCAUUCGUAGUUGCUCUUGGAAUUUCUCUUAUAGUUGUUGAUUAUGGAGAGGUCUGUAGUUUACUUAUUGGUUAAAUGUAGGUAGUUGAUUGGUAUUUCAUUCUGUUGAUGAUCGGUUUACUUAUCGGUAUAAUAUUUAAUUCUGUUGUAAUAUUUGGAUUAGCAUGCAUAUUAAUAUAUUGCAUAUCAUGUUAAUUGUUAACUAUGCAAAAUAAUUAUCAUGACAUAAUUGUCAUCUCUGAUCCAAUGCUUAAGGCUCCGGGAACGACUUUCGAUUGGUCUUUGCAAUUUAAGAGACAGCAAAGAUAUAAUUGAGCUAUGGCAAUCUUGAUACAUGCCAUUAACACACAUGACCUACUUCUUUGUUUUGUUCAGGGGUGAACAAACAGACUCCAU